AACGAACGCUGGCGGCAGGCCUAGCACAUGCAAGUCGAGCGCCCCGCAAGGGGAGCGGCGGACGGGUGAGUAACGCGUGGGAACGUGCCUCUUGCUUCGGAAUAGCCUCGGGAAACUGGGGGUAAUACCGAAUGUGCCCUACGGGGGAAAGAUUUAUCGGCAAGAGAUCGGCCCGCGUGGGAUUAGGUAGUUGGUGGGGUAAUGGCCUACCAAGCCGACGAUCCAUAGCUGGUUUGAGAGGAUGAUCAGCCACACUGGGACUGAGACACGGCCCAGACUCCUACGGGAGGCAGCAGUGGGGAAUCUUAGACAAUGGGCGCAAGCCUGAUCUAGCCAUGCCGCGUGAGCGAUGAAGGCCUUAGGGUUGUAAAGCUCUUUCGUGGGGGAAGAUAAUGACCGUACCCCAAGAAGAAGCCCCGGCUAACUCCGUGCCAGCCGCCGCGGUAA
rnacentral:rRNA from 1 species